CAACCAUCGCUUCUAUAAGACGCAAUGCCAUUUCCCCCCCACUUUUGGGGGAAAAAAAGUUAGUCUUAUAAAGCGAAAAAUAUGGUAAUACAAUUGCAGCAUUGUUGGGUCGGCCAAUUGGCGAUUGCGAUAUGGCGAUUUAUUGCGAUUGCUUUGGUGAUAUAUUGUGCAGGCCUACUAAAGAGUAUGGAG